rnacentral:tRNA from 1 species
UGGCCGGCCGGCUGGUUGUCCGACCCGGCGCUGGCCAUGCCGUCGGUGAUCCUGGUCAACGUGUGGAAGGGGGUGCCGUUCUUCACCGUCUGC